GUGGGGAAUAUUGCACAAUGGGCGAAAGCCUGAUGCAGCAACGCCGCGUGAGUGAUGAAGGUCUUCGGAUUGUAAAACUCUGUCUUUUGGGACGAUAAUGACGGUACCAAAGGAGGAAGCCACGGCUAACUCCGUGCCAGCAGCCGCGGUAAUACGGAGGGUGCGAGCGUUGUCCGGAUUUAUUGGGUUUAAAGGGUGCGUAGGCUGGAAGGUCAGUCAGCGGUGAAAAGCUGUCGCUUAACGAUAGUCUUGCCGCAGAUACUUCCUUUCUUGGAUGAGGAGGAGGCCACUGGAACGGAUGGUGUAGCGGUGAAAUGCAUAGAUAUCAUCCAGAACACCGAUUGCGAAGGCAGGUGGCUGUACCUUAAUCGACGCUGAUGCACGAAAGCAUGGGGAGCAAACAGGAUUAGAAACCCGGGUAGUCC
rnacentral:rRNA from 1 species